GUCUAUAGCCAUACCACCCUAGAUGUACCCCAUCUUGUCUGAUCUCAGAAGCUAAGCAGAGUCAAGCCUGUUUACUAUUUGGAUGGGAGGUUUGUGUCUAGAAGUUAGAUAGGGAUUAGAGCCU
rnacentral:rRNA from 1 species